AUUUUAUAAAAAAAGAAAAGAAAAAACCAAAAAAAAAACCCUUGAAAGCACAGAAGGAGCAGACUAAGGGCCGAACCUCAUUAAAACCUUUUCACUGAAAACCCAGUGGGGGAAACCGUGAAAAGGAAAAAGAGUACUCGUCUAAACACAAAACGAAAGUAGGGAAGAGCGGAAGGGAAAGUUUCCGGAACUCCGGCCUAACCAUCAUCCCCAAACUAUCCCGGCUCUCACCCCACGGGAAAAAAAAAAAAAAAACUAAACGGGCGGUUAGAACCAAACAGCCACCCAUCAGCCCCAACUACCGUUUCUGACGCAAAUGGCUAUGCGAAGCCAUGUCAAGACGAACCGCAGCCCUAAUCUCCUCAAUCUCGUGCGGCCACCACCCUUCCGAACGUUGUUGGUUAGCCAUUAUAUCGGCCGCCUUGUUUCCUUCUCUAAAGAUGUGAGAUACCUGCAGCGAGAAAGCAUCUAACAUCUUUAAAAUCCUAUUCCAAGCCGCCUUAAAACGCCAAGGCACAUUCAAAGAACGAGAAUUAAGAAUGAGUAUCACGUAGGUGGAAUCGGCUUCAAUCCAAAGUCUGUGCCAUCCACGAUUGUGAGCAAUUUGAAUCGCCGAGAUAACUGCCAGUAGCUCUGCUUCAAAGGCAAAACCCGAGCCACCUUUGAAGUGAAAACAAC
rnacentral:lncRNA from 1 species